rnacentral:rRNA from 1 species
AGGCCACUGCUAUCGGGGUCCGAUUAAGCCAUGCGAGUCGAGAGGGGUAAAGCCCUCGGCGAACGGCUCAGUAACACGUGGAUAACCUACCCUCAGAUCUGGGAUAACUCCGGGAAACUGGAGAUAAUACCGGAUAAUCCGUGAACGCUGGAAUGCCUCACGGUUGAAAGCUUUAGCGUCUGAGGAUGGGUCUGCGGCCGAUUAGGUAGUUGCUGGGGUAACGUCCCAACAAGCCGAUAAUCGGUACGGGUUGUGAGAGCAAGAGCCCGGAGAUGGAUUCUGAGACACGAAUCCAGGCCCUACGGGGCGCAGCAGGCGCGAAAACUUUACACUGCGCAAAAGCGCGAUAAGGGGACCUCGAGUGCGUGCGCAAUGCGUACGCUUUUCAGAUGCCUAAAAAGCAUGUGGAAUAAGGGCCGGGCAAGACCGGUGCCAGCCGCCGCGGUAACACCGGCGGCUCAAGUGGUGGCCGCUAUUAUUGGGCUUAAAGGGUCCGUAGCCGGACCAGUUAGUCCCUUGGGAAAUCUUACGGCUUAACCGUAAGGCUGCCAAUGGAUACUGCUGGUCUUGGGACCGGGAGAGGUAAGAGGUACUUCAGGGGUAGGAGUGAAAUCCUGUAAUCCUUGAGGGACCGCCAGUGGCGAAAGCGUCUUACUAGAACGGGUCCGACGGUGAGGGACGAAAGCUAGGGGCACGGACCGGAUUAGAUACCCGGGUAGUCCUAGCCGUAAACGAUGCGAGCUAGUGUCACGUGGAUUGCGAAUCCAUGUGGUGCCGAA